GAGUAAGACCAAGCGGCGGACGGGUGAGUAACGCGUGGGUAACCUGCCCUAUACACAUGGAUAACAUACUGAAAAGUUUACUAAUACAUGAUAAUAUAUAUUUACGGCAUCGUAGAUAUAUCAAAGUGUUAGCGGUAUAGGAUGGACCCGCGUCUGAUUAGCUAGUUGGUGAGAUAACUGCCCACCAAGGCGACGAUCAGUAGCCGACCUGAGAGGGUGAUCGGCCACAUUGGAACUGAGACACGGUCCAAACUCCUACGGGAGGCAGCAGUGGGGAAUAUUGCACAAUGGGCGCAAGCCUGAUGCAGCAACGCCGCGUGAACGAUGAAGGUCUUCGGAUCGUAAAGUUCUGUUGCAGGGGAAGAUAAUGACGGUACCCUGUGAGGAAGCCCCGGCUAACUACGUGCCAGCAGCCGCGGUAAUACGUAGGGGGCUAGCGUUAUCCGGAUUUACUGGGCGUAAAGGGUGCGUAGGUGGUCUUUCAAGUCGGUGGUUAAAGGCUACGGCUCAACCGUAGUUAGCCUCCGAAACUGGAAGACUUGAGUGCAGGAGAGGAAAGUGGAAUUCCCAGUGUAGCGGUGAAAUGCGUAGAUAUUGGGAGGAACACCAGUAGCGAAGGCGGCUUUCUGGACUGCAACUGACACUGAGGCACGAAAGCGUGGGUAGCAAACAGGAUUAGAUACCCUGGUAGUCCACGCUGUAAACGAUGAGUACUAGGUGUCGGGGGUUACCCCCCUCGGUGCCGCAGCUAACGCAUUAAGUACUCCGCCUGGGGAGUACGCACGCAAGUGUGAAACUCAAAGGAAUUGACGGGGACCCGCACAAGUAGCGGAGCAUGUGGUUUAAUUCGAAGCAACGCGAAGAACCUUACCUAAGCUUGACAUCCCUUAGACCGGUGUUUAAUCACACCUUCCCUUCGGGGCUGAGGUGACAGGUGGUGCAUGGUUGUCGUCAGCUCGUGUCGUGAGAUGUUGGGUUAAGUCCCGCAACGAGCGCAACCCUUGUCUUUAGUUGCCAGCAUUCAGUUGGGCACUCUAGAGAGACUGCCAGGGAUAACCUGGAGGAAGGUGGGGAUGACGUCAAAUCAUCAUGCCCCUUAUGCUUAGGGCUACACACGUGCUACAAUGGGUGGUACAGAGGGUUGCCAAACCGUGAGGUGGAGCUAAUCCCUUAAAGCCAUUCUCAGUUCGGAUUGUAGGCUGAAACUCGCCUACAUGAAGCUGGAGUUACUAGUAAUCGCAGAUCAGAAUGCUGCGGUGAAUGCGUUCCCGGGUCA
rnacentral:rRNA from 1 species